CGUCCUUCCUCCGGCUUUCCGUAGUGGAGCUGUUUUUUUUGUGUGUUGGUGGGUGAGGGUGACUCACCGAUUUCACUCCCUUCCGAGCUCUCGAAAUGGCGGCCGUGUGGAGAGCGCGUAUUUUCUUGGACUGUGUCGUUCGCUUCUCCGACCGAGAACUGCAAUAAUCUCCGAUCGGUCGUCUUGCCUUGUUUACGCGCUGGAAGCCCGCAGGCACUUUAAAGCAUGGUAGACAGUGAAAAAGAUAACUAUACUGGUGUCAUUGAUGCUGAAGAAAGUGAACGACCUGAAGAAGCAAACCUUCAGGAACUAGCACCAUUCUUAGCUAUGUCACAUCAUGCUAAUAAAGAAAGGAAGUGUUGGGAAUUUUAUAAUCAGGAUAGACAUCCAUCACAAGCAAGCGAAGACUUCGAGUACAGUUUGAUGAAUAAAGAAAUAAAGGCAAAGUUGAAACUGAAGAAAGAGGAGGAACUCGAUGUGUUUCGAGCUCAAUGGAUGUCUGAACUGAAUCCAAUUGGAAGCUCCAUUGGAUCAGAUAUGGAGCCUGGUGAAGUCUCUAGCAAGAAACCGUUUUUCAAAUCUUCAGGAAUCAAAGGGAAACAGGAGCUUGCUCGUGAAGAAAAGGCCAAAGAACUGUUCCUGAAAGCUGUUGAACAAGAACAGAAUGGAGCAGUUUAUGAAGCCAUCAAAUACUAUCGGAGGGCCAUGCAACUUGUACCUGACAUUGAAUUCAGGAUCACCUAUGUCCAUUCCCCGGAAAGUGAUGGAAAUGGCAAAGCUUACAAAGAAGAUAUGGGGAAAACCAAGGAAAUAACUGAUCUGUUGCCAUACUUUCAACAGCAGCUCACCUUACAGGACUCUUUACACAAAAUAUGUCAACCUGAGUUUGGGGUGAAUCAGACGCACAUAUCAGAGCUCCCUUUUGAAGUCCUCAUGUAUAUUUUUCGAUGGGUUGUGUCAAGUGAUUUGGACUUACGAUCUUUAGAACAAUUGUCCAUGGUCUGCCGUGCAUUUUACAUUUGUGCAAGAGAUCCUGAAAUCUGGCGCUUGGCCUGCCUGAAGGUAUGGGGUAGAGCAUGCAGUAGCUUGGUCCUCUACACUUCCUGGAGACAGAUGUUUCUAGAAAGACCUCGUGUCCGUUUCGAUGGUGUUUAUAUCAACAAGACAACCUAUAUACGUCAAGGAGAGGAGUCUCUGGAUGGUUUUUACAGGGCAUGGCAUCAGGUGGAAUAUUACAGAUAUCUGCGAUUCUUCCCAGACAGUCAGGUAAUAAUGCUGACCACGCCAGAGGAUCCUCAAUCCAUAGUCCCCCGCUUAUCCGUCAGGUCUCCAAGAAUGGAUGCUGUCCUCUUUGGUCAUUAUCGGCUCUCGCAAGAAACAGAUAACCAAACCAAAGUAUUUGCUGUCCUGGCUAAGAAGAAGAAGGAGGAGAAGGUUGCAGAGUAUCAGAAAUACAGAUAUCAUCGGCGCACUCUUGCUUCUGCUCCUGAGACAGAGCAUAGUUUUCACGUGGGAUUACAACUAUGUUCCAGUGGUCGACAGCGAUUUAACAAACUCGUUUGGCUUCACCACUCAUGCCUGAUUACCUAUAAGAAAAAGCUGGAUGAAGGAUGGGGCGCACGAGAAUCAAUCAUUCGGGAACUCCAGUGACUGUUUGGAGCAGGAAGAGAAGCCAUUUCUGAAUGUGAGCUGGAUGCAUGGGGCCAGUUAAAAGAGGAGCCAUUGAAGACCAGUUUCAUGGAGUUGUGAAACAAAGGGGGAUGGCAUAGGUGGCUUUGUCAAACACAGCAAAUAUGUCAGGAAUUGGAAAUGCCACAUUUUCACACUCAGGGAUACCAUUUACGACUUUGAUCAAAGGACUUUGGGUGUGAGCAGGGCUUUCGUGUCAGAAGUGCAGCGCACUACAAGUUGAGUCAAUGCAAAGGUCAACUGGUGAGACUGCUGUUACCACAUUUGACAUCGAUAAAAUGUACACACCUUUGUUCUUUGCUCGUGUGAAGAGCUUUACAGCAUUUGCUGAAACCCCUCUUUAAUUUGAUCCAAUCUGUCAGUUUAGGGUUUAGAUUCAUGGCAGAGCACUUUUAUCUUCUACCUUUUGCAUGAGUGGAAUGGCAUUAACUCUACAAGAGGAAGCUGCUUUCUGAGUUUGUAUAGGAUAUUGCUGAAUCAGUGCAUUAUUUUUAAAGUGCUGGGAGUAUUGCAAAAAUAAGAUCUUGAAAUCUCAAUCAAAGUUUCAAUGUGUUGUGUCAUAGAUCGAUUUCUUUAAGUGAUAUGCAUAAAGAAAUUUCAAACAUCGUAAUUAGGCUUGGGAUUUAAAUAUAAAUCUUGAGGCUGUUAUCAUUGGUGGCAUUAUUUCAAUUUUACUGGCAAUAUCUUGGAGAAUUUUUACACCUGGUCACAGAAAUGUAACUGUCCAUGAACUGUCUCAUUUUUACUACAAAUGGAAUUAUUCAUGUUAUCUGAGACUCUGCAGGAAAGCAGUCAUUGUCUCUUCAUGUCUUCUGACUUCAAAGCUUUAAUGGAUUUAGAGAUUUUUUUUAUUAUUUACUUAAACUGAAAUUAUGUUUGGAUAACAAGAAAAUAAAUGUUUUCUUCCAAUUGA